rnacentral:rRNA from 1 species
GAUGAACGCUAGCGGCAGGCCUAAUACAUGCAAGACGGACGGUAAGUUUGGUAGCAAUACUGAACCAAGAGUGUCGUAAGGGUGCGUAACGGGUAUGCAAUCUGCCCUCAACAGGAGAAUAGCUCCCCGAAAGGGGAAUUAACACUCCGUAAUAUAGUGGUGAGGCAUCUCACUCUUAUUAAAACUACGGUGGUGGAGGAUGAGGAUGCUUCUGAUUAGUUAGUUGGCGGGGUAAUGGACCACCAAGGCGAUGAUCAGUAGGGGGACUGAGAGGUUGAUCCGCCACACUGGGACUGAGAUACGGGCCAGACUCCUACGGGAGGCAGCAGUAGGGAAGAUUGGACAAUGGGUGCGAGCCUGAUCCAGCCAUGCCGCGUGCAGGAAGACGGCCUUCUGGGUUGUAAACUGCUUUUGCCAGGGGAUAAAAAGCCCUUGCGAGGGAAAUUGAAGGUACCUGGUGAAUAAGCCACGGCUAACUACGUGCCAGCAGCCGCAGUAAGAC